rnacentral:rRNA from 1 species
UGGGGAAUAUUGCACAAUGGGCGCAAGCCUGAUGCAGCCAUGCCGCGUGUGUGAAGAAGGCCUUCGGGUUGUAAAGCACUUUCAGCGGGGAGGAAGGCGGUGAGGUUAAUAACCUCAUCGAUUGACGUUACCCGCAGAAGAAGCACCGGCUAACUCCGUGCCAGCAGCCGCGGUAAUACGGAGGGUGCAAGCGUUACUCGGAAUUACUGGGCGUAAAGCGCACGCAGGCGGUCUGUCAAGUCGGAUGUGAAAUCCCCGGGCUCAACCUGGGAACUGCAUUCGAAACUGGCAGGCUAGAGUCUUGUAGAGGGGGGUAGAAUUCCAGGUGUAGCGAUGAAAUGCGUAGAGAUCUGGAGGAAUACCGGUGGCGAAGGCGGCCCCCUGGACAAAGACUGACGCUCAGGUGCGAAAGCGUGGGGAGCAAACAGG